GACCAGUCAUACAGUAGUCUAGUGGUUAGAGCAUUCACCUUGGAUGCAGUAGGACAUGGGUUCAAACCCCAGCUGAGUCA